rnacentral:lncRNA from 1 species
ACAUGAUGUUGAAUCCAGCUGAUAACUGGCCUUCAGUGCUCCAGAAGAAAUGUGGUUCAUAAAUGCCACAGAAACUUGCAUUUUCUAUGAGCUGCCAUAAUGUUAUAAUUUUAUACUGUGAUGUCCUUCAGUUGUCCUCAGCUGAAACCUGAGCUGUCACACUGAGGUGCAGAAGACAAAAGGUUCCUUUUAAUCAAGGUAUGCAGGAGAAAAGAGCAAUUUCAACUAAGUGGAAAGUCUCAAAAAUG